AGCGAACGCUGGCGGCAGGCCUAAUACAUGCAAGUCGAACGGCUCUUCGGAGCAGUGGCGGACGGGUGAGUAACGCGUGGGAACGUGCCCUUUGGUUCGGAACAACACAGGGAAACUUGUGCUAAUACCGAAUGUGCCCUUCGGGGGAAAGAUUUAUCGCCAUUGGAGCGGCCCGCGUUGGAUUAGCUAGUUGGUGGGGUAAAGGCCCACCAAGGCGACGAUCCAUAGCUGGUCUGAGAGGAUGAUCAGCCACACUGGGACUGAGACACGGCCCAGACUCCUACGGGAGGCAGCAGUAGGGAAUCUUGCGCAAUGGGCGAAAGCCUGACGCAGCCAUGCCGCGUGAAUGAUGAAGGUCUUAGGAUUGUAAAAUUCUUUCACCGGGGAAGAUAAUGACGGUACCCGGAGAAGAAGCCCCGGCUAACUUCGUGCCAGCAGCCGCGGUAAUACGAAGGGGGCUAGCGUUGCUCGGAAUUACUGGGCGUAAAGGGCGCGUAGGCGGACAGUUUAGUCAGAGGUGAAAGCCCAGGGCUCAACCUUGGAAUUGCCUUUGAUACUGGCUGUCUUGAGUUCGGGAGAGGUGAGUGGAAUGCCGAGUGUAGAGGUGAAAUUCGUAGAUAUUCGGCGGAACACCAGUGGCGAAGGCGACUCACUGGCCCGAUACUGACGCUGAGGC
rnacentral:rRNA from 1 species